rnacentral:rRNA from 1 species
UACGUAGGGGGCAAGCGUUUGUCCGGGAAUCAUUGGGCGUAAAGCGCGUGUAGGCGGUCCGGUAAGUCCGCUGUGAAAGUCGGGGGCUCAACCCUCGGAUGCCGGUGGAGUACUGUCGGGCUUGAGUACGGAAGAGGCGAGUGGAAUUCCUGGUGUAGCGGUGAAAUGCGCAGAUAUCAGGAGGAACACCAAUUGCGAAGGCAGCUCGCUGGGACGUUACUGACGCUGAGACGCGAAAAGCGUGGGGGAGCAAACAGG